rnacentral:snoRNA from 1 species
CUGCGAUGCUGGCAUUUCUUUGGACACGUUUGGAUUAAUCGUGACAAUUACUUUCGGAGCAGC